GCGACCGUAGCUCAGCGGUAGAGCGCCAGGCUUCCAACCUGGGCGUCGCCGGUUCGAUCCCGGCUGGUCGCUCCA
rnacentral:tRNA from 1 species